AGCUACGUUUGUGCUUAUCCCAUGUAUCAGUGGGGUGGAGAAAAAUAUGUAUUGUGCAUAUAUUAAAAUUUCUCUAUCCCGCUUAUCUUUUAUGAUACAAGGGUAAAAAAACAUUAUAUUUUAUAUCUCAUGUAUAUUUUCAUUUUAUUUAUAAGUUUUUUAUAAAUAAAAUAGUAGCUAUAAAUAUAUAUGUUUCAUGCGAUAUAGACAAAAAAAAAAUGCUAUAAUCAAUCAUGCAAGAUAUAUGUGCAUGGUGAUAU
rnacentral:sRNA from 1 species